CCUACGGGAGGCUGCAGUGGGGAAUAUUGCACAAUGGGGGAAACCCUGAUGCAGCAACGCCGCGUGAGUGAUGACGGCCUUCGGGUUGUAAGCUCUGUCUUCAGGGACGAAAAUAAGGGUACCUGGGGGGAAAGCAACGCUAAAUACGUGGCCGGCACCGCGGGAAAUAGUAGGGGGCGAGCGUUGUUCGGAUUUACCGGGCGGAAAGGGGGCGUAGGCGGACUUUUAAGUGAGAUGUGAAAUACUCGGGCUCAACUUGAGUGCUGCAUUUUAAACUGGAAGUCUAGAGUGCAGGAGAGGAGAAUGGAAUUCCUAGUGUAGCGGUGAAAUGCGUAGAGAUUAGGAAGAACACCAGUGGCGAAGGCGAUUCUCUGGACUGUAACUGACGCUGAGGCUCGAAAGCGUGGGGAGCAAACAGGAUUAGAUACCCCAGUAGUC
rnacentral:rRNA from 1 species